rnacentral:misc_RNA from 1 species
GAUGAAGAACGUAGUGAAAUGCGAUAAGUAAUGUGAAUUGCAGAAUUCAGUGAAUCAUCGAAUCUUUGAACGCACAUUGCGCCCGCCAGUAUUCUGGCGGGCAUGCCUGUCUGAGCGUCAUUUCAACCCUCAUGCCCCUAGGGCGUCGUGUUGGGGAUCGGCCAAAGCCCGCGAGGGACGGCCGGCCCCUAAAUCUAGUGGCGGACCCGUCGUGGCCUCCUCUGCGAAGUAGUGAUAUUCCGCAUCGGAGAGCGAUGAGCCCCUGCCGUUAAACCCCCAACUUUCCAAGGUUGACCUCAGAUCAGGUAGGAAUACCCGCUGAACUUAAGCAUAUCAAUAAGCGGAGGA